AUUCUGGUUGAUCCUGCCAGUAGUUAUAUGUUUGUCUCAAAAAUUAAGCCAUGCAUGUCUAAGUACACACGAAUUAACAGUGAAACUGCAAAAGGCUCAUUAUAUCAGUUAUGGUUCCUUAGAUCGUUAACAGUUACUUGGAUAACUGUGGUAAUUCUAGAGCUAAAACAUGCAAUUAAAACACGGACCUUUUGGAACGUGUGCUUUUAUUAGGCUAAAACCAAGCGAUCGCAAGAUCGUUUUAUUGGUUGAACUCUAGAUAACA
rnacentral:ncRNA from 1 species